CCUGUUUCUUUCUUCCUCGUCUCCCUUCCCGUUUCUUUCUUUAUUCUCCCCCCAACUGCGAUUUUGAGUUCCUCCCCCAAAAGUCCCAAGCUCCUCUGCAGUGCAAUUUCGAGUUCGCAGGUUUCUUCUUCUUCUAUGCGAGUUCGACACUCAGAUUGAAGCUAAACCGAAUCAGAUUUUAGUGGAAGUAUGUUGUAUAUCUUGAUUUUGGUCAUGUAACCUCUCGGCUGUUCGGUCCCGUCGCAUGGGAAUCUACAGAAAUGGGCUGUGCAGGUUGUUCUAUUGCUCAAUGCCAUUCUCACGGGAGUAUAAUGUUCGUGCGAGUUCUAUCUGCGACAACAAUUACUUUUUGGUAGAUUUGUAUUUGGGUUGCCAAAUUUUUCGAAGAAGAGAAGUGCUGAAAAUAAAUGAUCUCUACAAGAAGGUCUACAAGGACGGCAACUUACUGAUGCUUUGUGGGUACUGAGUUCAUCCUGACCUAUUGGGCAUUUUUUGCUCAUCUCUACCCUUUGCAUUUGUACUAUUGGGACUUCCCAGCACCUCAUAUUGGGAAUUGGAUUUCUUAGAAUUGUAAUAGUUGGACAGUAACGAUGUUCCUGUUGUGGUAGUGCCCAGUCUAGUCUAGUUUAAUUCUUCAUGGUAUAAAAGUUGAAACAAUAUACAUAAUAUCUCUCAUUCCAUUAUAAAGUUGGUUUUGGUCUAUUAUUUGGUUUUAA